AGGUUAUGAUGUGGAUGGACACUUGCGCAAUACAUCCUUGUAUAACUCUCAUGCCUCAUAUAAUUAUUCACCCUCAAAUUGGGUGAAGGUAGUGAUAUCAUUCAUUAACUU